GAAAAGUGGAAGGGCUGGUGCCCUGCUGCUGCUGCUCAUCUCUGGGGUGCCUCCUAGACUGGUUCCCACACAUCAGCAUCUACUCCUCCCAUUCAGGUCCUGCUGUUGUGCUCCCUGGUGUGGGCUCCACUUCUGUGCUGGUGGCAAGCUGGGAGAGCAUGGAAGGAAUUCAGCAGUUGGAGAGCCCCUUCCCUCAUGACACUUCUCCAAAAGAGAGAACCUUGGCUCAUCUCUGUCCAGCAUUCAGGACUUCCCUGGUGGCUCAGAAGCACUCAGCUCCCAGUGGAUGAGAGACUGAUGAAGAGAGUGAAGCUGGCAGCCAAGUUUCCCCAGGGUGCAGGCCAGGGUGCUGCUGCGGUAAGUUCAUAAACAGGACAUGGUGUCACAUCACCUCCCUCAAGCCUUCCAGAGGAAGGUAGACGCCAAGGCA
ensembl:lncRNA